UGAUUGGGGUGAAGUCGUAACAAGGUAGCCGUAGGAGAACCUGCGGCUGGAUCACCUCCUUU
rnacentral:rRNA from 1 species